GAAAUCCUUUUUUUGUUAUUCUCUGCAACCAAACAGACUCCAAAAAAUGAGCGAAAGAAGCACAAAUCCAGUCACUGAAACAGAGACCUCAAAUCUGAAGCGCGAGAACCCAAUCAUCAUCGAGGAAUCAAAUUCAGAGUCAAAGAAACAAAAGACUGAAGCUGAAGUAUUGACGAGUGAAGAAAGCAAGCGAAACGACAGUGGAACGGAAGAGAAGAAGCAGAAACAGCAACAGAUUGCGGCGGAGAAGGAGUUUAAGAUCGAAGCCAAUGCGGCGGAGGAUAAAGGAUCGAGACACUCCAUGGAGGAUGCUUGGGUUGUGUUACUAGACGCUAGCUUGGACUCUCCUCCUGGAAAAUUGAGAUGCGCACAUUUUGCAAUAUAUGAUGGGCAUGGAGGGAGGUUAGCAGCUGAGUAUGCUCAGAAGAAUUUACAUAAAAACGUUGUCUCUUCUGGCUUACCACGUGAGUUGUUGGAUGUGAAAGCUGCCAAAAAGGCCAUUCUUGAUGGUUUUCGGAAAACUGAUGAGUCUCUCCUUCAAGAAAGUACUUCAGGAGGAUGGCAGGAUGGUGCUACGGCUGUAUGUGUAUGGGUAUUGGGACAAAAAGUUUUCAUUGCUAACAUAGGGGAUGCAAAAGCAAUUUUAGCCCGAUCAUCGAUUAUUGAUGGAUCACAGAAUCACCCAGAUGGAGUAAGUCCAUUGAAGGCUAUUGUUUUGACAAGGGAACACAAAGCCAUAUAUCCACAGGAACGUGCUCGAAUACAAAAGGCUGGUGGAAGCGUGAGUUCAAAUGGACGAUUACAAGGUCGCCUUGAGGUUUCUAGGGCUUUUGGAGACCGUCAAUUCAAGAAGGUAGGUGUUGUGGCAACCCCAGAUAUUCAUUCCUUUGACCUCACAGACAGAGAGCACUUUAUUAUUCUUGGUUGUGAUGGCCUAUGGGGGGUAUUUGGACCAAGUGAUGCUGUUGAAUUUGUUCAGAAAUUAUUGAAGGAAGGUUUAACUGUUGCAGCUGUGAGCCGCCGUCUUGUAAGGGAAGCUGUUCUUGAGCGGCGCUGCAAAGAUAAUUGCACUGCAAUCAUCAUUGUUUUCAAGCACAGUUAACAUGGAGGGCCACCGAUGUUCAAUGCGCUGGAAAAACAUUGCAGCAGCUGGCCAUCAGUACAUGGAGGUCUUGACACUUCUUUUUCUGUAAAUUGGAGAAACAUAGAUAGGAGGGAUAUGCAUGCGUGCUUUUUGCUAUUUUUUCUAAAAGAUUAUUUUCCAUGAACAUGUGCUUUAAAUUAAACCUUUUCAAGCCACAUCAAGUUCAGCAUUCAAGGUACAAAGUACAAACAACUCCAAGUUGCUCCUGUGAUUGGGCGUUCUGAUUAACAAGAAUCUCAAUUUCUUUUACAUACUUUCAAGGUAUGAUGGACAGAAUUGGAUACAGACAGAGUGGAGAGCCAGUGUUUCCACCACUUUCCUGUAACUUGUUUCGUUCACCAUGCUGACAGGUGGUUCGUGAAUGUAGACAGAAAAAUUAAAAAAAAAAGAAAAAAAAGGUCUACGCCCUUGUCGCGGCUCAAGAGUGCUAAUUUCCCAUGUGGCCAUGAAUUUAUCCUAACCAAAUCUUCCCAAGUCUCAAAUUAGAUACAUUUGUCUGGUAGAGAAAAAUCGCAUGUUCAGUUCUGUCCUAAAGUUAUAGCCAUUAUGUU